GGGUGCAGGAGCCUAAGCACUUGGCCAUCUUCUACUGCUUUCCCAGGCUGUAGCAGAGAACCUGGAUCAGAAGUGGAGCAGCCGGGACUCGAACUGGCUUCCAUAUGGGAUCCUGCCCCCUGCAGGCGGGGGGGGGGGGGGGGGGGCUUUAUCCACUUUGCCAUAGUGCCAGCCCCUUGUGUUACUUUUAUGUAUAAUAGAAUAUGAUUUACAACAGCACACUUCAGAAAUAUUGUAUUGCGAAUGGGAGUUUCUGUUACCUACCUGUCUACCUUCCUGUCUGUCUCUCUCUACCUAUCUAUCUGUCUGUCCCUGUCUGUUUAUCUACCUAUCUUCCUGCCUGUCUAUUUAUCUAAAAGAUAAUGCUUAUAGGUUAGGAUAGUAAAUGUGUUUCUUUUUUUUUUUUUUUUUUAGAUUUAUUUACUUAUUUGAAAGUCAAAGAGAGAGAAAGAGAUUUUCCAUCUGUUGGUUCACUGCCCAAAUGGCUGCAACAGCCAGAGUUGGGCUGGUCCAAAGCCAGGAACCAGGAGCCUCUUCCAGGUCUUCCACAUGGCCGCAGGGGCCCACAUACUUGGGCCAUUUCUGCUGCUUUCCCAGGUGCCUUGGCAGGGAGCUAGAUCAGAAGUGGAGCAGUCAGAACUCAAACCCAUGCCCAUGUGGGAUGUCGACCCUGCAGAUGGUGAUUUACCCAUUGUGCCACCACGCUGGCCGCUGAAAUGCAUCUCUUACUGCAGGUCCUCAAGCACAAAGGUUUGUCGCAGACAGAGGAAACGUGUAGCCAUGUCGGAGCUGACGGGCAACACACCAAACCCAAGGAUCUGUCUUGUCCUGUGGGCAGUGCGGAGCCAUGGCGCUUAGAAAAGGGCAAGACGAGUGCCGUCGCCCUGUGGAGCAAGAGAGCACCUGCCAGAAAGCUCACCCAGCGGGCAUCUGAGGCUCGGAGAGAAACCUGCAAGGAGCAAGCCAGCUUGCAAAGACGGAAGAAGCCCCCCCCCCCCCCGCCACCUCCGCGUUGCAGAGGGCUCGGGAGAGCUGGGCUCGCCAAUGUGAGGAGAUCCGGGCCCAAGCGCUCACUGCCCGUUUGUUCCUCUGUGAGUUCCUUGCGUCUGCGUGCACAGAGUGAUCUUGACUUUCGAAGCUGACAUCCAAGUAAAUCUAAAAGACUUCUUGCCCAAAUGAUAACAAAGGUAUUUUAUGGUAGUUUUCCCUUUCUUUUUUUUUUUUUUCAUUAUUUAUUUACUUGAAAGUCAGAGAUACAGAGAGAAAGGGAAGACAGGGAGAGUCUGUCCAUCUUCUGGUUCACGAUCACCAGAUGGCUGCAAAGGGGGGGCUGGGCCAGGUUGAAGCCGAGAGCCAGGAGCUUCAUCCGGGUCUCUCACAUGGGAAGGAGGAGCCCAAGGACUUGGGCCAUCUUGUUCUUCUAUUUUUUUUAAAGAUUUAUUUAUUUGAAAGGCAGAGUUACAGACAGAGAGAAGCAGAGAGAGAGAGAGGUCUUCCAUCCGCUGGUUCACUCCCCAAAUAGCCGCAAUGGCCGGAGCUGAGUUGACCCGAAGCCAAGAGCCAGGAGCUUCUUCUGGGUCUUCCACACUGGGGCAGAGGCCCAAGGACUUGGGCCAUCUUCCACUGCUUUCCCAGGCCAUAGCAGAGAGCUGGAUCAGAAGUGGAGCAGCCGGGACUCGAACCGGCAUCCACAUGGGAUGCCGGCACUGCAGGCGCCGGCUUUACCUGCUACACCACAGCUCCAGCCCCCAUUGGGUCAUCUUCUGCUGCUUUUCCCAGGCCAUUAUCAGGGAGCUGGAUAGGAAGUGGAGCAGCUGGGACGUGAACCGGCACUCAUAUGGGAUGCCAGGGUCACAGGUGACAGCUUUACCUGCCACACACCUAUGCUGUUUCCCUUUUCCUUUUCUUAAUUUUUAAAACAUUACAUAUUUUAAUUAUGGUAAAAUACACACACCAUAAAACAUGCCAUCUUAACCACUUUAAUUUUUUUUUUUUUGACAGGCAGAGUGGACAGUGAGAGAGAGAGACAGAGAGAAAGGUCUUCCUUUGCUGUUGGUUCACCCUCCAAUGGCCGCCGCAGCCAGCGCACUGUGGCCGGCGCACCGCGCUGAUCCGAUGGCAGGAGCCAGGAGCCAGGUGCUU
rnacentral:lncRNA from 1 species